ACCUGGCUGGCUCAGUCAGUAGAGCAUGAGACUCUUGAUUUUGGGGUCGUAAGUUCGAGCCCCAUGCUGGGGA
rnacentral:tRNA from 1 species